UCCGUAGGGUGAACCUGCGGAGGGAUCAUUACCGAGUUUACAACUCCCAAACCCCUGUGAACAUACCAAUUGUUGCCUCGGCGGAUCAGCCCGCUCCCGGUAAAACGGAACGGCCCGCCAGAGGACCCCUAAACUCUGUUUCUAUAUGUAACUUCUGAGUAAAACCAUAAAUAAAUCAAAACUUUCAACAACGGAUCUCUUGGUUCUGGCAUCGAUGAAGAACGCAGCAAAAUGCGAUAAGUAAUGUGAAUUGCAGAAUUCAGUGAAUCAUCGAAUCUUUGAACGCACAUUGCGCCCGCCAGUAUUCUGGCGGGCAUGCCUGUUCGAGCGUCAUUUCAACCCUCAAGCCCCCGGGUUUGGUGUUGGGGAUCGGCGAGCCUCACGGCAAGCCGGCCCCGAAAUACAGUGGCGGUCUCGCUGCAGCUUCCAUUGCGUAGUAGUAAAACCCUCGCAACUGGUACGCGGCGCGGCCAAGCCGUUAAACCCCCAACUUCUGAAUGUUGACCUCGGAUCAGGUAGGAAUACCCGCUGAACUUAAGCAUAUCAAUAAGCGGAGGAA
rnacentral:rRNA from 1 species